CCUUUCGCCACUCCGGCACAAACCGACACAGCUUUGCGAUCUCGCCAGCAUGCAGAGUCUGAUGUCUUCCCUAUAGAUGAUUCCAGAGACUCUGUGAGGCCACUAUUACAAGGUGAGACGCUUUGCGUUGAUUGGUGCUGCUGAACCACACUGGAGGUGCGAGUCCGCCGUGUAAUGGUUUAUGCCAUUACAAAGGAGCUGGCCUCUGUACUCAACUGGGCAGGGGAAAAAAAACCAAGGACCAGACAAAGCAAAAAAGGGCAUUUAAAGAGACAGCGCUGUGCAGAUGCAUAUUUGAUGGCCUGGCGCAGCAGGUAGGGGCGAACUCUAUGUCUGAGUUGGUCUUUGCUCAAGCAGUCCAGAAAUGGCUCAGAUAUGAUCCAGAUCGUACGGGUGGCACGCAGGACGCACAUCAUCCAUCCCCAUCCCGGAGUAAAUAAUAAAAAGUGACGUGAAACAUAGAAAUGUAAAUAGGAAACUUUGUCUUUUAAUAAAGUAUUUUGC